rnacentral:rRNA from 1 species
UACGGAGGAUGCGAGCGUUAUCCGGAUUUAUUGGGUUUAAAGGGUGCGUAGGCGGAAUAUCAAGUCAGCGGUAAAAAUUCGGGGCUCAACCCCGUCCGGCCGUUGAAACUGGGGGCCUUGAGUGGGCGAGAAGAAGGCGGAAUGCGUGGUGUAGCGGUGAAAUGCAUAGAUAUCACGCAGAACCCCGAUUGCGAAGGCAGCCUUCCGGCGCCCUACUGACGCUGAGGCACGAAAGUGCGGGGAUCGAACAGG